CUCCAAGCUCGUGUCCAGCAAAAAGCCAUGGGCAUUGCUGAAUUCCACUUUGGGGCGGCUGCUCUCCUUCAUGGGGGACCAGGAAUGCUUCAGAUUGUCCCAGUUCUCCUGGAGGAGGAGCUGAGGAAUCUUGCCAUUUAUCCCCAAAGAAAGAAAAUACACUUCAGAGCUAAACUGAAAAGGUUUUCAAAGAUCAUCAUCUCCAAACCUUUCAUUUGACAGUUCCUCAUCUGCGGAAGAGCACUGGGAGGAGGAGGCACUGAGCACCUGUAGCCAAUCUAAGGAGCCAAGAGAAAUGGGGAAGAUUCCCACAUGGGCAAGUCAAAUGACGUAAAUUUCCUACCUAAUGCAGGCCUACAGCAAGUUAUAUACAAACACAGCCCAGACAGUGUGGGCUGAGCUCUAAAGACAAAGCUCCUCUUUCGGAUGAGCCUGCCAUCAAUUCAUCCUGGCCCACACAGCCUAGGGUGAGCCUUUCCAGAGAGAGAUGGCAAACGGAGAUAAGAAAGGGACAAGGCCAGACAGGCAUAUCGCCACCUUGCAGGGCUGGUGUCCUCCAGAAUUACCCUUCUAGGCAGGGAGAGCAAUGACAGCUGAUGCUUACCAAGUGAUUACUGCAUGCUAGGUAUCGUGUGAACCUCUUUGCAUAGAUAACUUAGGUAACUCUCACAAUAAUGCAAGCAGGGAAAUAUUAUUAUUGUCGCCAUUUAACAGAUGAGAAAACUGAGGCUCAGAGAGUCCAAAUAACUCACCUAAGCCUAAGUAACCUGUUGGAAAGUGACAAAGAUGGAGUUGAACCCCAGGCAAUCAGACUCCAGAAUUCACAUUUAACUUCUAUUUUUUCUGCUUAGCCAGGAGAAAGCUGACUACUCCGGGACAGGAGGCUGCUUUUAAUGAUACAUAAAGACUAAUAAAGCGAGUUCUGAAGUACUGGUCCAAGCAAACAGAGCUCAGCAGAAGGAAUGCUUGAUUCUGACAAGAAGAUGCAGGGAAGUUUUCCUGGAUGAGUCUCAAAAGAGCUAAGACUUGCAUGAGGUACAGGAUUUGGGAAGGAGAAGCUGGGCAAAGACUUUCUAGCACAAGGUGAAGCAUAAGCAAUGGCAAGAGCUGUGAAGUCCACCUAAAUGUAACUCUCGAGAUGAGAAAGACAUCCGCUUUUGAUGGGAUUGAGGGUGCACAGAGUAACAGAGGGAAGUGAAGUGGCAAUGGCUGUCUGAGACUAGAUCACAAAGGGUUGUGAACAACAUGCCAACAGAUCUAAAGUUUCUUCCAUAGAAAAGAAUGAAUCUUUGGUGUUUUUUGAGGCAGUCCAUGGGAGUGGGUAGGGAUCAUUAGCUGGGGAUUAUGGUGUUCCUUUUGAUAGUCACAGAGCUAACAGAGCCAGGCCUAAAGUGUUAGGACUCCCGUCCAGUGCUCAUGUGGCAACCUGGAGCACAAUUUCAAAGACAGAGGUCGAUACACUACUAAGUUUCUAUUGUUUUGACAUCUGUUAGAAAAUCAUAAAUUAUAAAUAACUCAACGCAAAAAUGCUUUAAGCUCUAAAUAAAUAGUAUUUAGAUGCUGUUUGGGACUUCAGAAUUUUAAUUUUGUUCCACUAGGUAGAGGAUGAUUAGCUCAGCCUUGAUCCUGGUCUCUAGCUGACCUUGAGCAAGUAUCAUCUACCUUCUGCCCCUUGGUUUCCUCAUGUAUUCAACUGAAGGAGGAUGAAGAGUUGGGCUUCAGAUCACUUUAUUUCCCUGAGAGUCUAUCUCAUGCCUAUAAUCCCAGCACUUUGGGAGGCCGAGGCGGGUGGAUCAUGAGGUCAACAGAUCGAGACCAUCCUGGUCGAAAUGGUGAAACCCCGUCUCUACUAAAGAUACAAAAAAUUAGCUGGGCCUGGUGGCGCGUGCCUGUAAUCCCAGCUACUCGGGAGGCUGAGGCAGGAGAAUUGCCUGAACCCAGGAGGCGGAAGUUGCUGUGAGCCGAGAUUGCGCCGUUGCACUCCAGCCUGGGUAACAAGAGCGAAACUCCGUCUCAAAAAAAAAAAAAAAAAACUCCUUGAAAGAGAUUUUACCUCCUUUGUCUUCAUAUCCUCAGUGAUUACCUUGAGACCUGAUAAAUGGUAGACUCUGUAAAAUAUUGUGGAAUUCAUGGUACAAAAUAAGUUUUCAACUCAAGACUCUAGUGGGGGCACUUUAUGUCAAAAAUUUAGAAGUGGUGAGCAUUUUUUUAAAUAAGAAAGGCAUAAAACAAGCAGAUCAGUAACCCAGACAGGUUAGUAUUUCCUCUUUGGCUGUAAAAGAUGCUGAGGAACUGAAAGAUAAUGAAAAAGAGAAGACUGAUGAGGAGGAGGCCAAGAACACUGUAAGGUCAAGGGGUAAAACAAAUGUUCAAAAGUAUAAAGGAAGAAAUAUGUGUUUUAGGAGCAUCAGGUAAUUCAGUUUAAUCAGAAGAAUCCAUGUACGUCAGUGGCUCUCAACCAGUAGAUUUUGCCCGCAGGGAAAAUUUGGCAACGUCCGCAGACAUUGUGAUCAUCACAACUGGGGAGGAGGGUACAGCUACUGCAUCUAGUACAUUUUGACCAGGGAUGCUGCCAAACUCAACAACAAGGAAUCAUGCAUUCUGAAAAUGUUAACAGUGCUGAGGUUGAGAAUCCGUGGUGGAAAGAACGAGGGAAAGUUAAGGUAGGAAACAAUGUUAAGGGAGGAAGGUGAAUGUGAGGCUACAGAAUCCAGACCCAAUCUAGAGAGGUUUAUGGUAGAGGGGUUAGAACAUGCACUCUGAAGAAUGCUCCUACCACUGACUUGUAUGGACCUUGGGAAAUUCACUUAACAUUCCUCCUCUCUCAUCUGGAAAACUGAGGUCAUAAUAGUACCUACUUUAGAGGGUCAUGGUGAGGAUUAAAGAGUUAAUGUACGCAAAAUUUUUAGAACAGUGCCUGACACAUAUUCUACGUUAAAUAUAUUAGCUGUUACGCACAGGUUAUAGGGAGCUACAGUAGACACAAGUUCAGAGAGCAGCCAUACAGGCUCCUCAGUCGCUGACAACCUUAGAAAAGGGCUUAGAGCUGCAUGAUUAUCAUGUGACUAUUAUAUCCACCCAAUUAAUAAUCCUGCAAUCAGCUUCUGCUUCAGAUGACACUGCAGGCGGAUGUGUUUGGGUUUGUCUUGCUGUCUGCAAGGAACUCCCUGUCUGGGCUUUGUCUCCUAGAUAGCCACAAUGCCCAGACCAGCAUCCGACUGCCUCUCCUGUUCAGGCACCCCAUGGUUUUAACGAAUAAGGAGAAGGAGAUAAAGAAAGUCAGACAUGAGGACAGAUGGAAAGACGGAAAGGCAGGAAGCCUUCUGUGAAAGCUUCUGCCUGUGAUACACACUGUUCACAGGGGUUCCAAUGAAAGAUGCAGGGGCAUGUUUCAGAGGUUUGUUUGAGCUACUGAUACUGUUCUUUGGGAACCCUUGUUUGUAAACAGAUAUUUCUGCUAAUACUAGGCUUUGUAAGGAUGGACAGAGUCAGGGGGAGGGGUGGGAGUAGGGGUUGGAGAAAAAGGCAGGUUGUGUCCUAGAGCCUUAGACCAUGUGUUUGCUGUUGAGAAUACAAAGACCUCGCUGUAUAAAAUGAAAAUGCUUGUUUUCCAAGGCGAGUGGGAAUAUGAUAGGUACAUGUCGAAAUGCUUUAGAAACUGAAACAACCCCAUGCCACGACGGCAUUCUGCUACAUUAUACAUCCAGGGGCAUACACAAAACAUGAAGGCUCCUCAUCACGAAAAGAGGGCUUUGGGAGGUUGUGGGAAAAGAGAGUCCCAGGAGCUGAGUGACUGGCAGCUCCCUCCCUCUGGUCUCACCUAAGCCUGCCCUUUCCCAAAGAGAGGCCUCCAUUUCAGACUUUCUAUUGGUUUUCCAGUACCUGCUAACCUAAGGGUAGAAACUGUUUAAAAUAUUACUGUUGAUAAAAGAGUCUCUAGUAGCAUAGUUCCAGACUCAGAGCACUACCAGGAAUAUUUAUGAUGAUAGAACUAUGCAGGCAGAAUACUUUAACUUUUUCAAAGUAGUUUUCAACGAGUGUUUUUCACAUUGUACUCUACGGAAGCACAAGGUUCACUGAAGACAUCUCGGGUUUUUUUUUUUUUUUUUU